UGAUGUCAGGGUGAUCUGGCUGUGACAUCUGUCACCCCAUUGAUAGCCAGGGUUGAUUCGGCUGAUCUGGCUGGCUGGGCGGGUGUCCCCUUCCUCCCUCACCACUCCCUGUGCAGCCCCCCGCAAAGCUGCGCGCUUGGUCAAAGAGGACGAGCACCCCUAAUAGAGCAGGACCGUUUCCUUGGUCAAGGGUAUACAAGUAGCUGUGUGCCCCAGCUAGGACCUCCAAACCAGCUCUCAAAGUUAGGAUCAGCUGGUCUUCCACAUCCACAGGUUUUUACAUCCAUAGAUUCAACCAAGCACAGAUUGAAAAUAU
ensembl:misc_RNA 7SK 7SK RNA